AUUCCUGUGUGACCUUGAGCAACCACUUAUUGCCUUGUGCCUCAGUUCCCACCCACCCCUCUAAAAUAACGCUAAUGAUACUAUUUUCCCUGUCCUUUAAACAGGGCCAUGUCAUAUUCUUGAUCUACUGACACAAUUGCAAAUGCAUUUGAUGAGACUAACAUGGAUGGAACUCUAAAAGCUCCUUCACAUCUCCAGAACUCCAGCUGCUACUCUCUGACCUGCAGUAGAACUGAGGCCUUGAAAGAACCAUCUGACUUCUCAACUCCAUAGCUCUAAUACCAAAAAACACCC